GUUGGAUGUGGAGUGUUAAGUGUGGCAGAAAUUAAUACACCAGGUUCAAAAGCGCUGUGAGUCAGUCCUUUUUUAGUGGAGUGCGGCAGUAGCCGUCACACUAUCACCAACUCGAAUCGGUGGUUCAUUUCUGCAAGGAUGACCAACAAGACGCGCACAAAGCGGAAGCCCCAACAAAACACAAUGCCAAGUGCACAGGUGCCAUCGUUUGGACGGUCGUUAUGCGCAGCCCUGACUUUGCGAAUAACAACACUAAACAGGUCGAUUUGCACCAAAUGCCGACGGAGUUAAACAUCGUUCGGUCGGCUGGAUCACGAUUCGUCCUAGUGGCUGACAUUUCCGACUUGCAUGAGCAUCUUGAAACGCAUCCAUAAACUGGUCGAAGCUGUGCGCUCCUUUAUCAAAUACGAUGCACCCACUGGAAGCAAACUUGGAAUGAUUAUGUUCAGUUCGACGGCUCAUGUUGUGAGUGAACUGAAAACCAUCACCGACAUGAAGUCGCAUCAACAGAUGGUGGAGUAAGUGCCCAAACAAUUGUUUUCUGCCACUUGUAGCGGAUGCGGCCUUGAUGUCGGUGUCCAGUUGCUUAGCAAACCGAACGAUGCAGAAAAAGGCGGAAUCAUCCUCCUAGUUACCGACGGGAAAAAUUCGCCAGGUUAUCUCGACAUUGCCAUUGUACAGCAGGACAUUGUUAAAGCAGACAUCCGUGUCGGCAGCAUCGCUUUCGGGUUCUUUAUUCCAACGACCACGCGAAAAGAAUUUACGAACGCUUAAUUUAAGAGGGGAGAAGCAGACAUGAAAAUUGAGCACCUUGCCAAAAUCAUCGAUGGCAAAAGUUAUUUCGUGAACGACCGUGAAACAAGCGAAGUCCUUCAACAGGCUUUCUUGGGCGCUAACACGAAUUAAUCGAAUGUCAAUAACAGCGAUUUGCAAUUCAAGUUGUUUGAAAAAACAGCCAUGGUUAAGCAAUCAGGAACGGAGAUCAAUGGCGAUUUCGCUGUUGAUCCGACGGUCGGUCGCAAUUUGAAACUGGGCAUUUUCAAUCUAGAGAAACUGACGAAUUUACAGUCGAUGGAACUGACCGCACCUGACGAUCGGCAAUUGGUCCCUGAACGUUAAGUUAAGCAGGGCGCAACCGGGCGCAACCGAUAUCGAUACUGGUCACUGUUGAAAAUAAAAUGCGUCCAAACGUUACGACCCCAAUCAAAACUAAACGCUGGAGCCCCCAAGAUAUUAAAAACCCCUGUAAAAACACAAUUCCAAUUCGCGCUGAGGUGUCGAGGGGACCGAAUGCAGUCAUUGGAGCCAGUCAAAGUUUUUUUGGUGAAACCCAACGGUGACUCGAACAUUUCGGAGCUGCUGGACAAUGGCACCAACGCCGACACCGUGAGCAAAGAUGGUGUUUAUUCCAGGUAUUACACCAACGCCACUCAGACGGGUCGGCACACGUUCAAAUGCCAUGUGAUUAGCUGUAAGGACACUGUGUAGAGUUUAGGUUUUUUUGGCACUGCUAGCCCUCAGCUUCACGGUAGUGUAAUUGAUAAAAAACGACGAGGGAACUCCAGUGACCAGUUUUACUCGAAUCGCUUCUGGUGGAUCAUUUCAGGUGGAAAUACCCGUGUCGAGUUCAAUGCUUAUCCACCAGUUGAAAUCAGGGAAUUUUCUGCCACGUUAGUUAGUGACACAGCGACAAACAUCACGAUGGAAUUGAAAUGGACGGCUCCGGGUGACGAUCUCGAUACGGGCCCGGCUGCUUAUUAUGAACGGAAGUAUUCAGACAUCGCGGCCGACGUGAUAAACUCCAACUUUGACGAUGAGUCUUUUGUUCGUAAGAGGCGCUCCGUCAUUAAAGAAGAUGAUCUUGUGGCCGAUUCGCUCGAAUCCAUGGAAGCUGGCUCCAUGCCAACGGCCACCUUCUUGCUAUCCGAUACCGAUCUGGACCGACUUUAUUACGUGCACUACGCGCAUUGGACAAGGCCGAAAAGGCUGGGCAAGCCUCCAACGUGGUCGUUUUCUUCGUACCAGACAAAUUGGCUAUGCUGGCUAGUAACAAUUUGGAAAGAUCCACUGGAUUUGAAGCAAGAGAUAUCAUGAAUGUGAAUCAAUCGGGCUUUCACGUUACCUCGUUAUUGGUUGUAGCGUUUGGGCUUCUUUUGCUCGCCUGCCUGUGUGUGGCCUUAUUGAUGGCCAUCGUCAAACGCUCUAGAGCCUAUCUGGUAUAUUCUGGUGUCCCGACUAGUAAAAAUUAUAGUUUUCCUGAAAUGAGUAUAGAGACUCGAGGUUUAUUCAAUUAAGUUGUUAAAGCAGAACAGUACCGAGGAUUACAUCCAAUUCAUUUAAAAGCAAGCUUAGUUUUGUAGCGAAGAAUAGAAAAUUCUAGCGAUUAUUUAGGUCAAAACAGACAUCUGAGUGUGAUGGAUUCCUUUCAACUGCCACCAUGCCCUUAAUAGUACUGGGAAAUUGUUCUUAUUCAUGACAUUUUAAUUAAAAUAAAUUCCUUGUGUACAGUAGAAUGGAUUUACCAUGCUUCAUUUGAAAAUAUUGCAAUGUAUAUGCCUGCCCGGUGUGUACAUACAUACAGAUAUAUAAACUAAUGUAAACUUAUCACGAUUUUAAAAACAAAAGUGUUGCAUUCGUUCAUCAAUAGCCGUAUCCGCUGUAAUAGCCAUGUCCGUAUCCAGCGCCAUAGC